GGGGAAGAGUUCUUUUGGAAAAGUGACAAUCCAGAUUGAUCGGGUCGUAAUGCUAGGAGCAGUUGCUGGGGAGUAUACUUUGUUGCCAGAAAGCAAAAGUGGGCCCUUAAGGAAUUUGGAAAUAGAAUUCCAGUGGUCCAACAAACCCACUAACAAUGAUGCAGCCACAAAUUGAAUUUUAGGGAGAAAACAAUGUCCCAGUAUAGAUUCUUUUUUUUUUUUAAUUAUUAUUAUGAUUAUCUGAGUGCUGCUAGACAUGGUUGUUGGCAAGACUCAAAGGAUAUGUGUUGUAAAUAGACCCAGCCACAUUUUGGUCUAAAAUCAGAAUUGAAUUAAA
rnacentral:misc_RNA from 1 species